rnacentral:lncRNA from 1 species
UGGUUCUCAAACAUGAUGUUGUCAACAUGCCUGUAUUUCUGUCUGUUGAGAGUGAUGGCACUUGGCUGACACUUUGUGCAAAUGCCUUCUGGCCAAGGAGGAUGCCCUUCACAGCCCGACUUGAUCUUGCAGCUGAUGUUUUCCAGGGCAACAAAUUUCCCCUUGUCUGCCCCUCCGGUCAGCUUCCUGAUGUAGGCAUGGAACGACAUAUGCUUCACAGGAGGUUCCAGAUGGUUUAAAUAAUCCUCAUCAAAAGGCUCUAAUGGUACACAAUGCACACAUUUACCCAAGGGGCCGUGGCGACACAGCUGCUGGUCUCGAUUUCGAUAAAUCUUCCCAUCCUGUUUGAUCAGAUACUGGUCAAUGUCAUCCUCCACCACCUGGGGGGCCCCCACUGGCCGCAAGCCCUGGGAGACAGAGGUGUCCAUGGUCUCUGAGGAAGAGCCUGCUGGGCUCGAGGGGUACAGAAACAGCAUAUCGCCAUGCUUGAUUUUCAGUAAGUUGAGGGAUUUGUUUUGUGAUGCUGUGAUCUCUCCUGUCCUGUUUCUAUUGGUGUAGACAGAAAACCCAUUAUUCCUGAAACCAAAUUCUUUUGCAACCUUCUUGAGGAACGUGGCCACUGUCUCUCGCUUGGUGGCCGUGAUGCGUUUCACCCCUUCUGGCGACUGCACACGGAUUAUGAUCGUCUCCGCCAUGGCGCUGCCCGCACAGCCCCCCUCACAGCUACGUCUCGAGACCUCCGCUCCCCUCAGCCCCUUUCGGCCCAGCGCCGCCCCACAGGGCCCGGCCCGGCCCGCCGCUGCCUGAGCCUCCUCCGCCGCCGCCGCCGCCUCCCGGAUCCC